CAGCGCUUCUGCCUAUCACAGCCUUCACAGGGCGGAAGUCUCCGGUCCAAAUCGCCUACUUGACUUCAAGAACUCUCUUUCUGACGGUGUACUCGUCCUGAGUUCUGUGGUGGAUGACACCUGUGUCUUGAUUCAGCAGAAGAUGAACAUCAGCCUGAUAGCCGACUUGGCGGUGAGCUUCGAGGCAAUGUAAACCUUAUCAACUCUGAAUGGGAACCAAGAGGUCCUAGGCCUGUAGCGAACCCAAUUGCACCGAAAGCAAAGUGGAGUCUUUGAAGUAUUUUAGCUCAUUACUCUCCUGUAGUAGUUUAUAAAUAAAGAUUUGGAG